AACGCACAUUGCGCCCCUUGGUAUUCCGAGGGGCAUGCCUGUUCGAGCGUCAUUACAACCCUCAAGCAUUGCUUGGUAUUGGGCUCCGCUGUUCACCCAGCAGGCCUUAAAAUCAGUGGCGGUGCCGUCGAGGCCCUGAGCGUAGUAAAUAUCCUCGCUAUAGGGACCCGGUGGAUACUGGCCAUCAACCCCCCACUUUCUAAGUUUGACCUCGGAUCAGGUAGGGAUACCCGCUGAACUUAA
rnacentral:misc_RNA from 1 species